rnacentral:rRNA from 1 species
ACGAACGCUGGCGGCGUGCUUCACACAUGCAAGUCGAACGGAAAGGCCCUGCUUUUGUGGGGUGCUCGAGUGGCGAACGGGUGAGUAACACGUGAGUAACCUGCCCUUGACUUUGGGAUAACUUCAGGAAACUGGGGCUAAUACCGGAUAGGAGCUCCUGCUGCAUGGUGGGGGUUGGAAAGUUUCGGCGGUUGGGGAUGGACUCGCGGCUUAUCAGCUUGUUGGUGGGGUAGGGGCUUACCAAGGCUUUGACGGGUAGCCGGCCUGAGAGGGUGACCGGCCACAUUGGGACUGGGGUACGGCCCAGACUCCUACGGGGGGCAGCAGUGGGGAAUAUUGCACAAUGGGCGGAAGCCUGAUGCAGCAACGCCGCGUGCGGGAUGACGGCCUUCGGGUUGUAAACCGCUUUCGCCUGUGACGAAGCGUGAGUGACGGUAAUGGGUAAAGAAGCACCGGCUAACUACGUG